CUGCAGCUGCUCCUAAGAAGCCCAGCCAUCAAGCCAACUGUGACAAGGUUUCCGAAGCUGCCGUGAUUUUAUAGGGGGUUGCCUCUGCCUGGAAUGCCCUUUUCUUCCCCUGUCUGGCUAACUCCUGCUCAGGCUUAGAGAAUCAAAUCAUCAUUGCUUCAUCUGUGAAGACCUCCGCAAGCCCACUCUCACCAUCUCUGCUGCAUCACAAAUGAGGGUGGGAGAAGGAAUGUUCUCUGGAGAAAUCUGUAUGAUAGAAUAGUGAAGGUAACUGGCCUGAACUACAGCUCUUGAGCCAUCUCGUUUCACCUUCAGGGAGGUCCCACCGAAGCUGAAUGACUGUGCAGGUUGAUACACUGGACAUUUUCGGUGAAACCUGUGUGAACAGACAACUGGAGGGUCAUAUGAUUUAUCCUCUCCCCAGUACCUUGGCACAAGCCUAGGCUACAGAAUGAGAUGCAUGUAAGAAGUCUGUGACCUGGACCAGAGCAGCCCAGCUGAACACAUGCUGGAUUGGAAGAACCGCCUUUGACCUGAAGACUUGUGAGUGAGAAUAAAUGCUGUUUGAGAAAGGAGUUUGGAGACAGAAAGACGGAAGAGUUGAUAUUCCGCUCACAGAUGUCAAUUUUCAAAGAAAUUUCUGCCCAUUAUGGAUGCACCACAAAUACUAAAGUCUAUGCAAUAUAUAUUUUGAAAAGAAUUUUUUUCGUGAAACUGUAAUUUUCGUUCAUAAGAAUAUAUUUCCUGACUUAGCAUUUUAUUGACUAGAUUAAAAUUU